rnacentral:rRNA from 1 species
ACGUCAAGUCCUCAUGGCCCUUACGGGUUGGGCUACACACGUGCUACAAUGGCGGCGACAAUGGGCAGCGAAGGGGCGACCCGGUGCAAAUCCCAAAAAGCCGUCUCAGUUCGGAUUGUACUCUGCAACUCGAGUGCAUGAAGGUGGAAUCGCUAGUAAUCGCGUAACAGCAUGACGCGGUGAAUACGUUCCCGGGCCUUGUACACACCGCCCGUCACACCAUGGGAGUUGGUUUUACCCGAAGCUGGUGCGCUAACCGCAAGGAGGCAGCCAACCACGGUAAGGUCAGCGACUGGGGUGAAGUCGUAACAAGGUAGCCCUAGGGGAACCUGGGGCUGGAUCACCUCCUUUCUAAGG